CACUAGCUGACGAGUCCCAAAUAGGACGAAAUGCGCUCUGUCCUGGGU
rfam:Trichobilharzia regenti genome assembly, scaffold: TRE_scaffold0002773